rnacentral:rRNA from 1 species
GACAGAGGUGCCAAGCGUUAGGCGGAAUCACUGGGCUUAAAGCGUGUGUAGGCGGCCAGGUAGGUCUGCUGUGAAAACUCGAGGCUCAACCUCGAGACGUCGGCGGAAACCAUCUGGCUAGAGUCCGGAAGAGGAGAGUGGAAUUCCUGGUGUAGCGGUGAAAUGCGCAGAUAUCAGGAAGAACACCCGUGGCGAAGGCGGCUCUCUGGGACGGUACUGACGCUGAGACGCGAAAGCGUGGGGAGCGAACAGG